GACGAACGCUGGCGGCGUGCUUAACACAUGCAAGUCGAACGGAAAGGCCCUGCUUUUGUGGGGUGCUCGAGUGGCGAACGGGUGAGUAACACGUGAGUAACCUGCCCUUGACUUUGGGAUAACUUCAGGAAACUGGGGCUAAUACCGGAUAGGAGCUCCUGCUGCAUGGUGGGGGUUGGAAAGUUUCGGCGGUUGGGGAUGGACUCGCGGCUUAUCAGCUUGUUGGUGGGGUAGUGGCUUACCAAGGCUUUGACGGGUAGCCGGCCUGGGAGGGUGACCGGCCACAUUGGGACUGAGAUACGGACCAGAAUCCUACGGGCGGCAGCAGUGGGGAAUAUUGCACAAUGGGGGGAAGCCUGAUGCAGCAACCCCGCGUGCGGGAUGACGGCCUUCGGGUUGUAAACAGCUUUCGCCUGUGACGAAGCGUGAGUGACGGUAAUGGGUAAAGAAGCACCGGCUAACUACGUG
rnacentral:rRNA from 1 species